GGCCCGGUAGCUCAGUUGGUCAGAGCAGCGGACUCAUAAUCCGUCGGUCCUGGGUUCGAGCCCCAGCCGGGCCA
rnacentral:tRNA from 1 species